CCAACAAUACAAGCUACUAGAGUGACGAUUCUAGCACAAAUGCAUAAAUCAAACUUCAUAAAACAAGUUUAAGGAGUUAGAUGGCUACCUACUUUGAUGGCUGUUCAAAUCAGAAAAUUUUGGUCCCUAUGAAGCCUGAAGACAGCCGUGAAACUCCUCCCUUUUCCAGCCUAAGUUGUUGUCCAAGUAAAAAGCUAAAUGAAUGUGAAGUUUGGUGAGAAUCUAUGGAAGUUUUGGUAGUGAUUUGGUGAAUUUUGGAAGAGGAAAUGUUGAAGUCUUUGGUUGUUUCCUCUGCAGCAGCUGGCCGACCAUGAAGCUAGAAGGAAAGGAAAUGCGGUUUCUG
rnacentral:lncRNA from 1 species